rnacentral:rRNA from 1 species
UACGGAGGGGGCGAGCGUUAUUCGGAAUUAUUGGGCGUAAAGGGCGCGUAGGCGGCCUGGUCAGUCGAAGGUGAAAUCCCCGAGCUCAACUUGGGAACUGCCUUCGAUACUGCCGGGCUUGAGUCCGGGAGGGGAGAGUGGAAUUCCCAGUGUAGCGGUGAAAUGCGUAGAUAUUGGGAGGAACACCGGUGGCGAAGGCGGCUCGCUGGACCGGUUCUGACGCUGAGACGCGAAAGCGUGGGUAGCAAACAGG